AUACGUAUGUCGCAAGCGUUAUCCGGAAUUAUUGGGCGUAAAGCGAGUCUAGGCGGCUUGUUAAGUCAGAUGUGAAAAUGCGGGGCUCAACUCCGUAUUGCGUUUGAAACUGGCAGGCUAGAGUGCUGGAGAGGUGGGCGGAACUACAAGUGUAGAGGUGAAAUUCGUAGAUAUUUGUAGGAAUGCCGAUAGUGAAGACAGCUCACUGGACAGAUACUGACGCUAAAGCUCGAAAGCGUGGGGAGCGAACAGGAUUAGAAACCCCGGUAGUCC
rnacentral:rRNA from 1 species